UACGUAGGGUGCCAAGCGUUAAUCGGAAUUACUGGGCGUAAAGCGUGCGCAGGCGGUUUUGUAAGACAGGCGUGAAAAUCCCCCGGGCUCAACCCUGGGGAAUGGCGCUUGUGACUGCAAAGCUGGAGUGCGGCAGAGGGGGGAUGGGAAUUCCGCGUGUAGCAGUGAAAUGCGUAGAUAUGCGGAGGAACACCAAUGGCGAAGGGCAAUCCCCCUGGG
rnacentral:rRNA from 1 species